GCUGCUAUAGCUUAGUCGGAAGAGCAUGAGACUCUUAAUCUCAGGGCCAUGGAUUGGGCCAAAGACUGCUGCA